rnacentral:rRNA from 1 species
UACGUAGGAGGCGAGCGUUGUCCGGAUUCAUUGGGCGUAAAGAGCACGCAGGCGGUUUGGCAAGUCGGAUGUGAAAACCCGAAGCUCAACUUUGGGCGUGCAUCCGAAACUGCCCGACUAGAGGUAGGUAGGGGAGAUCGGAAUUCCUGGUGUAGCGGUGAAAUGCGCAGAUAUCAGGAGGAACACCGGUGGCGAAGGCGGAUCUCUGGGCCGUACCUGACGCUCAGGUGCGAAAGCUAGGGGAGCGAACAGG